UACGUAGGCAGCAAGCGUUGUUCGGAAUUACUGGGCGUAAAGAGUGUGUAGGCGGUGCUCCAAGUCUGGUGUGAAAUCUCCCGGCUUAACUGGGAGGGUGCAUUAGAAACUGGAAUGCUAGAGGAUGGGAGAGGUAAGCGGAAUUCCUGGUGUAGCGGUGAAAUGCGUAGAUAUCAUUUGGAACGCCAAUGGUGAAAACAGGUAGCUGGGGGCUGUGCUGACACUGAGACACGAAAGCCAGGGGAGCGAACGGG
rnacentral:rRNA from 1 species